rnacentral:tRNA from 1 species
GGUCUGUGGCUCAGUGGUAGAGCACUUGCCAGCAUGUGUGAGGCACUGGGUUCGAGUCUCAGCACCA